UUAAGCGACUAAGCGUACACGGUGGAUGCCCUGGCAGUCAGAGGCGAUGAAGGACGUGCUAAUCUGCGAUAAGCGUCGGUAAGGUGAUAUGAACCGUUAUAACCGGCGAUUUCCGAAUGGGGAAACCCAGUGUGUUUCGACACACUAUCAUUAACUGAAUCCAUAGGUUAAUGAGGCGAACCGGGGGAACUGAAACAUCUAAGUACCCCGAGGAAAAGAAAUCAACCGAGAUUCCCCCAGUAGCGGCGAGCGAACGGGGAGCAGCCCAGAGCCUGAAUCAGUGUGUGUGUUAGUGGAAGCGUCUGGAAAGGCGCGCGAUACAGGGUGACAGCCCCGUACACAAAAAUGCACAUGCUGUGAGCUCGAUGAGUAGGGCGGGACACGUGGUAUCCUGUCUGAAUAUGGGGGGACCAUCCUCCAAGGCUAAAUACUCCUGACUGACCGAUAGUGAACCAGUACCGUGAGGGAAAGGCGAAAAGAACCCCGGCGAGGGGAGUGAAAAAGAACCUGAAACCGUGUACGUACAAGCAGUGGGAGCACGCUUAGGCGUGUGACUGCGUACCUUUUGUAUAAUGGGUCAGCGACUUAUAUUCUGUAGCAAGGUUAACCGAAUAGGGGAGCCGAAGGGAAACCGAGUCUUAACUGGGCGUUAAGUUGCAGGGUAUAGACCCGAAACCCGGUGAUCUAGCCAUGGGCAGGUUGAAGGUUGGGUAACACUAACUGGAGGACCGAACCGACUAAUGUUGAAAAAUUAGCGGAUGACUUGUGGCUGGGGGUGAAAGGCCAAUCAAACCGGGAGAUAGCUGGUUCUCCCCGAAAGCUAUUUAGGUAGCGCCUCGUGAAUUCAUCUCCGGGGGUAGAGCACUGUUUCGGCAAGGGGGUCAUCCCGACUUACCAACCCGAUGCAAACUGCGAAUACCGGAGAAUGUUAUCACGGGAGACACACGGCGGGUGCUAACGUCCGUCGUGAAGAGGGAAACAACCCAGACCGCCAGCUAAGGUCCCAAAGUCAUGGUUAAGUGGGAAACGAUGUGGGAAGGCCCAGACAGCCAGGAUGUUGGCUUAGAAGCAGCCAUCAUUUAAAGAAAGCGUAAUAGCUCACUGGUCGAGUCGGCCUGCGCGGAAGAUGUAACGGGGCUAAACCAUGCACCGAAGCUGCGGCAGCGACGCUGAUGCGUUGUUGGGUAGGGGAGCGUUCUGUAAGCCUGUGAAGGUGUGCUGUGAGGCAUGCUGGAGGUAUCAGAAGUGCGAAUGCUGACAUAAGUAACGAUAAAGCGGGUGAAAAGCCCGCUCGCCGGAAGACCAAGGGUUCCUGUCCAACGUUAAUCGGGGCAGGGUGAGUCGACCCCUAAGGCGAGGCCGAAAGGCGUAGUCGAUGGGAAACAGGUUAAUAUUCCUGUACUUGGUGUUACUGCGAAGGGGGGACGGAGAAGGCUAUGUUGGCCGGGCGACGGUUGUCCCGGUUUAAGCGUGUAGGCUGGUUUUCCAGGCAAAUCCGGAAAAUCAAGGCUGAGGCGUGAUGACGAGGCACUACGGUGCUGAAGCAACAAAUGCCCUGCUUCCAGGAAAAGCCUCUAAGCAUCAGGUAACAUCAAAUCGUACCCCAAACCGACACAGGUGGUCAGGUAGAGAAUACCAAGGCGCUUGAGAGAACUCGGGUGAAGGAACUAGGCAAAAUGGUGCCGUAACUUCGGGAGAAGGCACGCUGAUAUGUAGGUGAAGUCCCUCGCGGAUGGAGCUGAAAUCAGUCGAAGAUACCAGCUGGCUGCAACUGUUUAUUAAAAACACAGCACUGUGCAAACACGAAAGUGGACGUAUACGGUGUGACGCCUGCCCGGUGCCGGAAGGUUAAUUGAUGGGGUCAGCGCAAGCGAAGCUCUUGAUCGAAGCCCCGGUAAACGGCGGCCGUAACUAUAACGGUCCUAAGGUAGCGAAAUUCCUUGUCGGGUAAGUUCCGACCUGCACGAAUGGCGUAAUGAUGGCCAGGCUGUCUCCACCCGAGACUCAGUGAAAUUGAACUCGCUGUGAAGAUGCAGUGUACCCGCGGCAAGACGGAAAGACCCCGUGAACCUUUACUAUAGCUUGACACUGAACAUUGAGCCUUGAUGUGUAGGAUAGGUGGGAGGCUUAGAAGUGUGGACGCCAGUCUGCAUGGAGCCGACCUUGAAAUACCACCCUUUAAUGUUUGAUGUUCUAACGUUGACCCGUAAUCCGGGUUGCGGACAGUGUCUGGUGGGUAGUUUGACUGGGGCGGUCUCCUCCUAAAGAGUAACGGAGGAGCACGAAGGUUGGCUAAUCCUGGUCGGACAUCAGGAGGUUAGUGCAAUGGCAUAAGCCAGCUUGACUGCGAGCGUGACGGCGCGAGCAGGUGCGAAAGCAGGUCAUAGUGAUCCGGUGGUUCUGAAUGGAAGGGCCAUCGCUCAACGGAUAAAAGGUACUCCGGGGAUAACAGGCUGAUACCGCCCAAGAGUUCAUAUCGACGGCGGUGUUUGGCACCUCGAUGUCGGCUCAUCACAUCCUGGGGCUGAAGUAGGUCCCAAGGGUAUGGCUGUUCGCCAUUUAAAGUGGUACGCGAGCUGGGUUUAGAACGUCGUGAGACAGUUCGGUCCCUAUCUGCCGUGGGCGCUGGAGAACUGAGGGGGGGCUGCUCCUAGUACGAGAGGACCGGAGUGGACGCAUCACUGGUGUUCGGGUUGUCAUGCCAAUGGCACUGCCCGGUAGCUAAAUGCGGAAGAGAUAAGUGCUGAAAGCAUCUAAGCACGAAACUUGCCCCGAGAUGAGUUCUCCCUGACCCUUUAAGGGUCCUGAAGGAACGUUGAAGACGACGACGUUGAUAGGCCGGGUGUGUAAGCGCAGCGAUGCGUUGAGCUAACCGGUACUAAUGAACCGUGAGGCUUAACCUU
rnacentral:rRNA from 1 species